rnacentral:rRNA from 1 species
UACGAGAGGCCCAAACGUUAUUCGGAAUUACUGGGCUUAAAGAGUUCGUAGGCGGCGCAGAAAGUAGGGUGUGAAAGCCCUCGGCUUAACCGAGGAAUUGCGCCCUAAACUACUGUGCUUGAGGAACCUAGAGGUGAGCAGAACAGAUGGUGGAGCGGUGAAAUGCGUAGAGAUCGGGAAGAACAUCGGUGGCGAAAGCGCUCUACUGGACCGCAACUGACACUCAGGGACGAAAGCUAGGGGAGCGAAUGGG